rnacentral:rRNA from 1 species
AUUGAACGCUGGCGGCAGGCCUAACACAUGCAAGUCGAACGGUAACAGGAAACAGCUUGCUGUUUCGCUGACGAGUGGCGGACGGGUGAGUAAUGUCUGGGAAACUGCCUGAUGGAGGGGGAUAACUACUGGAAACGGUAGCUAAUACCGCAUAACGUCGCAAGACCAAAGAGGGGGACCCUCGGGCCUCUUGCCAUCGGAUGUGCCCAGAUGGGAUUAGCUUGUUGGUGGGGUAACGGCUCACCAAGGCGACGAUCCCUAGCUGGUCUGAGAGGAUGACCAGCCACACUGGAACUGAGACACGGUCCAGACUCCUACGGGAGGCAGCAGUGGGGAAUAUUGCACAAUGGGCGCAAGCCUGAUGCAGCCAUGCCGCGUGUAUGAAGAAGGCCUUCGGGUUGUAAAAUACUUUCAGCGGGGAGGAAGGGAGUAAAGUUAAUACCUUUGCUCAUUGACGUUACCCGCAGAAGAAGCACCGGCUAACUCCGUG